rnacentral:rRNA from 1 species
GACGAACGCUGGCGGCGUGCUUAACACAUGCAAGUCGAACGGAAAGGCCCUGCUUUUGUGGGGUGCUCGAGUGGCGAACGGGUGAGUAACACGUGAGUAACCUGCCCUUGACUUUGGGAUAACUUCAGGAAACUGGGGCUAAUACCGGAUAGGAGCUCCUGCUGCAUGGUGGGGGUUGGAAAGUUUCGGCGGUUGGGGAUGGACUCGCGGCUUAUCAGCUUGUUGGUGGGGUAGUGGCUUACCAAGGCUUUGACGGGUAGCCGGCCUGAGAGGGUGACCGGCCACAUUGGGACUGAGAUACGGACCAGACUCCUACGGGAGGCAGCAGUGGGGAAUAGUGCACAAUGGGCGGAAGCCUGAUGCAGCAACGCCGCGUGCGGGAUGACGGCCUUCGGGUUGUAAACCGCUUUCGCCUGUGACGAAGCGUGAGUGACGGUAAUGGGUAAAGAAGCACCGGCUAACUACGUG